UACGAACCGUACGAACGUUAUUCGGAAUCACUGGGCUUAAAGGGUGCGUAGGCGGCCUGGCAAGUUGGGUGUGAAAUCCCUCGGCUCAACCGAGGAACUGCGCUCAAAACUGCCGGGCUUGAGGAAGACAGAGGUGAGCGGAACUCAGGGUGGAGCGGUGAAAUGCGUUGAUAUCCUGGGGAACACCAGUAGCGAAGGCGGCUCACUGGGUCUUUUCUGACGCUCAGGCACGAAAGCUAGGGGAGCGAACGGGAUUAGAUACCCCCGUA
rnacentral:rRNA from 1 species